rnacentral:rRNA from 1 species
AAGACUAUCAAACUCCGAAUGCCGUCAUCUUAUACUUGGGAGUCAGACUGUGGGUGAUAAGAUUCAUAGUCGAAAGGGCAACAGCCCAGAUCGUCAGCUAAGGGCCCUAAAUGUAAGUUAAGUGGUAAAGGAUGUGGGAUUGCACAGACAACCAGGAUGUUGGCUUAGAAGCAGCCACUCAUUCAAAGAGUGCGUAAUAGCUC